ACAACCAAAUUAUCUAGCUUCUCAACACUAUUGUUUUCCACCCUUUCAACCUUAUUAUUCAUUAACUCAACAAUCAUCAAAUAUUAUAUCCAACAUCACCAACACCAUUAAAAAAAUCAUCAACAUGAAUAGAACGAAAAAAUAGAAAUAAAAUUCAUCCAUCAUUGACUCCCUGUUAUCAAAGGAUGAAGCAUCCUCGACAACUAAAACAAGCUCUAUUGUUUCCACUACCAAACGAUGCACAAAGAACAUAAUAUCUCUCUCAUAUGGAUAGAGGAGAAACAAAUUUGUUUGGACAUGAACAAAUUUUGAAGGAAGAAAGUUUAUUGUUCCAAAUAGUAGAGCAAAAAAAUGUUUGAGUAUAUAUUUUGCACCAACUUUUGAAAAGAAAUUGGCUAGAUUUGAGAAGAAGAAGGAAGAAAAGUUGAUUUGGGAAGAGAGAAAAACAGAUGGACCACAACCUCUAUCCACAAAUCUUAAUAGAGGAAAAUAUUUCCCUUCAUAUACAUUGCUAAAUCGUCUUCAUUUUUUCUAACUAGGGGUUUCAGUUCCAUGCUCAACGUAAUGUAUUCCACCACUCUGGUCUUCCCGGUCUUCUUCAACAACGCUCACUUUAUUUUCCUUCAUGUUGCCAAUAUGAGGUGGAACAACAACUUAGGAUUUUAGCACUUAGACCUCUUAAUAUUGGGUCUAAAUUUCUGCCCAGACCUAUUGCAAUUAUUGGGAGAGAAAGGUUUUCGAGUAGUGCUCAAAGUGCA
rnacentral:lncRNA from 1 species